CCCUUAGAUGUUCUGGGCAGCACGCGCGCUACAAUGGUCUUCGCAAACGGAUGCAUUCUCGAAGGAGAAUGCCAAUUUUGGAAUCUAUGCCUUGGUCGGGACAGUUGCUUGCAAUUUUUCGACUCGAACCAGGAAUUCCUUGUAAUCGUGAUUCAUCACAUCACGAUGAAUACGUCCCUGCCCUUUGUACACACCGCCCGUCGCUCCUACCGAUCGAAGAGUUAGGUGAAUUGUUUUGAUCGAUAAGAUUUGACUAUGGUCAACUCUCGUUGGGAAAUUCUGUGAAUCUGACUGUUUAGAGGAAGGAAAAGUCGUAACA
rnacentral:rRNA from 1 species